UUAAAAUAAAUUACGUUACUAUUUUUAGAAAAUCAAACUUAUUUCAUAUUUUGCAGGAAUAUCAGCGUCCUGAAGCAUAUCAGUGUCGGUACUUUGUGUUUAUUACUGUUGUGUUUUAUGUGGGUAUUUAGAUGUGUCAGUUUUUCUGAUAAAUGUUUUUCCUAACUAACGUUUUGUAAUACAAAAUAUUCUCUGCGAUACCGUUUUCUGAUACGUAACUGAAAAUUAGCUCGACCUUUAUUUUGAUAAAUUUGUUUUUAUACAGAUAAAUAUUAAUAACUGUUUUAAAUUGUUGUUGUUUUCAAUCCAGAGACUGGUUUGAUGCAGCUCUCCAUGCUACUCUGCCCUGUGCAAGCUUCUUCAUCUACCAGUAUCUACUGCAACCUACAUCCAUCUGAAUCUGCUUAGUGUAUUCAUCUCUUGGUCUCCCUCUACGAUUUUUACCCUCCACGCUGCCCUCCAAUACUAAAUUGGUUAUGCCUUGAUGCCUCAGAAUAUGUCCUACCAAUCGAUCCCUUCUUUUAGUCAAGUUGUGCCACAAAUUUCUCUUCUCCCCAAUUCUAUUCAAUACCUCCUCAUUAGUUAUGUGAUCUACCCAUCUAAUCAGCAUUCUUAUGUAGCACCACAUUUCGAGUUUUAAAUUAUAAGAUCCAUAAGCUGUCUGUAUGUGGGGAAAAUGUGUUAUAAGAAUUUUUGUUUGUUUGUGAGAAGUAUAUAAUUUUUUACUAAGCGUGUGUGGGUAUCUGUUUGUUGGGGGGAGGUUAGGGCUAUGGAAAAGGUUUAGUGGUUAUAUUGCUAUCUUCAUUAAAACAUAGCUAAUAUAUGUUUCUGUUUUGCCAAUAGGUUUCAUCGUUUUGUCAUUUUCUGUAAAUCUUAUCAUGAGCAAGCCCUUCUAGAAUGUGGAAUGAAUAAAGAUGAGAAAUGUUAAGAAGUUGUUAGAAAUAUGAAUACUUAUGGAUUUUGAAAUAUAUUAGGACAUUUGUGCAUACUGACCAUGAGUAAUUCAAAUUUGGAGAAAGCAGCUACCAGCAUACUUUGUCGUGCUGUUGAGCUAGAUGAGAAGCGUCGUUUCACUGAAGCACUGGUUUGUUACCAGGAGGGUCUACAACUUCUGGUGAAUUUUCUCAAAACUGAAGGAAAUGCCCAGAAAAAGUCAGCUGUGCGUGGGAAGAUUGAAAGUUAUAUGCAGCGUGCAGAGAAACUGAAAAAACAUAUAGAAACACAGAAAGAUGCUGGUAGUUUCCAUGAACAAGUUGUGAUUGACAACGAUUCAAGAGGUCAUAGUUACAAAAGUGUCUUUGGCCGUUUCCUUGAUGCAGAUGUUACAGGAGUCAGAGUAGAGGAUCCUUAUAUUAGAACAUUUCAUCAGUGCCAGAAUUUUCUUCGUUUAUGUGAGUUGCUGCUACAAUCCUGCAACAAUUUGAAGAGUAUUGUGUUGGUUACAUCAUCUCCACUUCAAGUGAAUGAGCAUACUAAUCAGAUGAAGUGGCUGCAGGAUAUUAGAACAAGUCUUCUGAAAGAGAAUGUUGAACUUGUUGUACAGCUUUCUCCAACACUUCAUGAUCGACAGAUUAGAUUGGACAAUGGGUGGAUCAUUAAAAUUGGUCGAGGACUUGACUAUUUCAAACCACCAGAAAAUAAAUUUGCAGUUGGGAACUUUGAACUUGACUUCAGAUAUUGCUACCAGACCACAGUUGACAUUUAUCAUUCAAAGAAAUAAAAGCUAAAUGCUCUGGUAGUCCGCAGCUCGUGGUCUUGCGGUCGUGUUCUCGCUUCCCGAGCACGGGGUCCCGCGUCCGAUUCCCGGCGGGGUCAGGGAUUUUCACCUGCCUUGAGAUGACUGGGUGUUUGUGCUGUCCUCAUCAUUUCAUCAUCAUUCCUGAAAGUGGCAAGAGUGGGCUGAGCAAAGAUGUCCCAUGUCACAUUCCCGGAUGCCACAGUGCAGAAUAAUGACUGCGGACACUCAGGAAAUGUCUGUGUUUAUCUUUUACGUAAUCAACCAGUGCACAAAGGAGGAGUUAUUUCAAUUUAGUAUAAGCUGAACUCUUCAGAAGCAUACAAUCUAAAGAGAGAGUAUUUAUUUGUGAAUUAUUUAAUUCUUACGUAAGUCUGUGGGCUUUCAUGGCCAGUUUAAUUACUGAUAGAACAUUGAACUCUAUACUGAAUUUGAUUAUUUAUGGCACAUACAGUGAUGUGGAGUUCACUAUGUUAGAGGGAAAAAAUGCCGAGACCUUUGGGUGCCUUACAUACAUAUAGAUGGAAGUUCCUCACAGGGGAUAAACAACAGCACCUGAAGAAGACUGUGUGUCACGAAGUGAAAUAUCAUGCAGGAAAGACGUGAAUAAGCAGCAGAAACCCGAUUAAUCAACAUGACAAUGCCUCGCUGGGAAAGCUUGAAGAAUUGCAACAUAAUUGUGGUUAAACUUUUUUGUAUGACUUGAUAUUAGCUAGAUAAGAGACUGACUGCUCAGUUCAGGUCAGAAAAUACUAUUUCUGCAUCAUGAAUAUUAUUUGAAACAAACACAUGAAAACAGUGUUUGAAUAUCAUAUUUACACACACAGUGAUUUGUAUUUAUAUGAACUGACUAAAAGUACAAAAUUUAAAGUUGUCAUUAUUUGACAAUGGCAUUGUAGUUACUGUGUGCCUGUUGUCGAAGAAAACUGGUGCUGAUAGCUAGCCACACUGAUUCAGGUUCAGACACCUUUUUAUAAUAGCAGUUCCUUGCCCAAAGUUUACAUUUUGUGCCAAUAAUGAUCUCUGUGUAAGUCUUACAUUGUAAAACCUUAAAAUAUUUAGGGACCACAUGUAUUUUUAAGGAGUAUUGCUUGUACAUGAAUUGUGAAUUUUACAUUUUUGUUAACUUUAAUUAUAUUUUAUCUGGAGUUCCUAAAUGAUGAUGGGCAGGUAGGAAGUGUGUUAGUAAUCAUACCCUUAAGGCAGGUUUGCUAGACUCCAUUCAGAAAACAAAAUGCUGGUUCCCACAGUUGUCCUUUCAUGCAAGUUUAAACUGAAUAACGGUGACUGAGUGGACUAAACCAAGACUUAGUAGCACACAUCUGGUAAACAUGCACAGAGGAAGCUUCAGCUAUUGAUGAAUGAAAAAUUUAUAUUGAAAAUUAAAUAUUUGUUACUUCAGUUCCCAGCUUUUUGGUCUGUUGACUGAAGCUUGUGUACUUAUAUAAUUUUAACAAGGUCAUGUGGGACUUUGGAUCCAUACUGUAAUAUUAAAAGAUUUUU